rnacentral:tRNA from 1 species
UGGGGUGUGGCUCAGUGGUGCAGCAUUUGCCUAGCAUGUGUGAGGCCCUGGGUUCCAUCCCCAGCACUGCAA